UUUAAUUGUCUGGCUACCUCUUCAUUGUUAGUUUCCUCUGGAUCCCAUUAUACCGUUUAUUUAGGUUUAGUAUGUUUUUCAUGUUGGAGGUUUUCCUGGACAAUUACUGGGGUGAAGUGUUGGAUAUUCACUCAUAUUAAGAAUGAAGCACCAAAAGAAAGUGUGUGGGUAGGACUUUGUCAAUUCGUGGGCUUCACUGAGAGUUAAUCAGCUUAAUCAGAUAAAAUGUCCUAUUUGUAGAAUUAUCUCCAAAUGUUUGACUCUGUGAAAAUCUCUUGUUCUGGGGAUAGUUAAGAGGUCUCAAAUGUAAAAUCCUAUUUCUUUUCUAUCUUUUGCUAAAUGUGUUCAAACUAUUUUGAGCAGGCUUUCCAAAAACUACAGCAAUUUCAAGGAUAUUGUGCAAAGACAUUCACUUCUUCUGAAUUCAUUAAAAUUAUUUUAUAAUUAAUUGUAAUGAUACUUUUAAGUGAUUUGUCAAUUUACAAUGUUUUAGGGAAAAAAAUUAAACUAGUUAAGUCAUUCCCACAGACUUACACAGCAUGUGAGACAUGUUUUAUUUUUAUUUAUUUAUUUAUUUUUUGGUCUUUUUAGGACCACACUUGCGGCAUAUGGAAGUUCCCAGGCUAGGGGUCUAAUCAGAGUUACGGCUACUGGCCUAGGCCACAGCCACAGCAAUGUAGGUUCCAAGCCACCUCUGGUUACCUACACCACAGCUCAUGGCAAUGCUGAAUCCUUAACCCACUGAGAAAGGCCAGAGAUCAAACCCGCAACCUCGUGGUUCCUAAUCAGAUUUGUUCCUGCUGUGCCAUGAAGGGAACUCCAAGACAUGUUUUAUACAUCCUUCUUACCUUUAAACGCACUGGGAAAAAAGUAUUUUGGAUGACACAGGAUUUUAAAAUUUAAGUUUUAGGUAACUCUGAUUUAGAUAAAUAUAGAACUGGAAAAGACUUUAAGCUAUUAUUCUGAAUCAACUAUCUUAUUUUUUUAGAAGAGAAAACAGUAUCUGAAUUGUUCUUCCAAGGUAAAUAUUUUUUGAAAUUUCAAAACCUGAUGUGUUAACAGUUUUUUCCAAAAGAGUUAACCUUGCAGAGUUCAGAAAACUGGGGGAAUUUUUUAAAAUUUUUUUCUUCUUUUUACGUUGUACCUAUGGCAUGUGGAUGUUCCCAGGCUAAGAGCUGAAUCCGAGCUGCACCUGCAAACCUACAUCACAGCCAUGCCAGAUCCAAGCCACAUAUGUGAAAUACACCACAGCUCUCAGCAGUGCUGGAUCCCUUAACCCAGUGAGCAAGGCCAGGGAUUGAACCCACAUCCUCAGAUACUAGUUGGGUUCUUAACCCAUGGAGCCACAAUGGGAACUACCAAAUUUGUGGAUUUGAAUUAAGUAUUCUCUCUCCCUUAUAUCAGGUCAAAUAUGUUCAACUUAUACCUUAAGCAUUCAAAUUUUCCUCUGAGGAAGUUCUUCUUUGGUGAAGUGGGUUAAGAAUCCUACUGCAGUGGCUCAGAUUUCUGCAGAGGUAUGGGUUCGAUCCUUAGGCCAUUCCAGUGGGUUAAUGGAUCAGCAUUUUUGCAGCUUCAGCAUAGGUUGCAGCUGCAGCAAAGAUUCAAUUNCCUACUGCAGAACUUCCAUAUGCCAUGGGUGCAGCCAUUAAAAAAAAAAAUAAAAAUUCUCCUUUGCUUUCCUACUGCCUUAACUUGUUUAAAGCAAUACUGUUUUUGAUUAGGUUGGUGUAACAGCUUUCUAACCACCCCCUUCAUAUUGUGGGCACUUCAUACUGAUCCCUUCAUUUUCAAAACUUCAAUGAAUUUUAUUAUAUUUACAGUUUUACAACCAUCAUCACCAUCUAAUUUUAGAACAAUUCCAUCCCAAACCCCCAAUCCAUCCCUUCCCCCAAAUCUGUCCCUUUUAGUAACUGUAAACUUUUCAAUACCUGUGUAUUUCUGUUCUGCAAAGAAGUUCAUUGUAUCCUUUUUAAAGAUUCCACAUAUAAAUGAUAGCAUAUAUUUGUCUCUCAUUGUCUGACUAACUUUACUUUUAGCAUGAUAAUUUCUAGGUCCAUCCAUGUUGCUGCAAAUGACAUUUCAUUCUUUUUUAAGGCUGAGUAAUAUUCCAUUAUCUAUAUGCAUCACAUCUUUAUCCACUCCUCUGUUGAUGAACAUUUAGGUUGUGCACAUGUUUUGGCUAUUGUAUAUAUAGUACUACAAUGAACACUGGGGUACAUGUAUAUUUUUCAGUUAUGCUUUUUUCUAGAUAGAUGCCCAGGAGUUAGAUUACAGGAUCAUAUGGUAAUUCUAUUUUUAGUAUUCCAAGGAAUCUCCAUACUGUUUUCCAUAGUGGUUGCACUGAUUUACAUUCCCACCAACAGUGUAAGAGGGUUCCCUUUCCUCCACACCCUCUCUAGUAUUUAUUGUUUGUAGACUUUUUGAUGAUGGCCAUUCUGGCUGGUGUUAGGUGGUACUUUGCAGUAGUUUUAAUUGGCAUUUCUCAAAUAAUUAGUGAUGUUGAGACUCUUUUUAUGUGUUUUUUGGCCAUUUGUAUGCCUUCUUUGGAGAAAUGUCUGUUUAGAUUUUCUGCCCAUUUUUUGAUGGGGCUGUUUAUAUAUUUUUUCGUUUUUGUUUUUUAUACUGAGCUGCAGGAUAUGUUUAUAUAUUUUGGUGAUUAAUCCCUUGCCAGUUGCUUCAUUUGCAAAUAUUUUCUCUCAUUCUGUGGGUUGUCUUUUUGUCUUGUUUAUGCUUUCCUUUUUUAUGCAAAAACUUUUAAUUAUGCCCCUUUUGUUUAUUUUUGUUUUUUUAUUUUAUUUUUAUUUUUUUAUUUCCCCAAUACAUCAUUUUUUUUCUACUGUACAGCAUGGUGACCCAGUUACACAUGCAUGCAUACAUUAUUUUUUCUCACAUUAUCAUGCUCCAACAUAAGUGACUAGACAUAGUUCCCAGUGCUACAUAGAAGGAUCUCAUUGCCAAUCAUUUCAAAGGCAAUAGUCUGCAUCUAUUAACCCCAAGCUCCCAAUCUAUCCCAUUGUCAUUACUCUAGGUGGAUCUGAGAAAAUAUUGCUGUGGUUUACGUCAGAGAAUGUCUGGCCUAUGUUUUCCUCUAAGAGUUUUAUAGUAUCUGGUUUUACAUUUAGGUCUUUAAUCCAUUUUGAAUUUAAUUUUGUGUAUGGUGUUAGAGAGUGUUCUAAUUUCAUUCUUUUACAUGUAGCUGUCCAGUUUUCCCAGUGAAAAGCUGAAAGAAUUCCCAAUAAAAUCAGGAACAAGACAAGGAUGUAAGCUCUUGCCACUUCUGUUCAACAUAGUUUUGGAAGUCCUAGCCAUAGCAAUCAGAGAAGAAAAAGGAAUCCAAAUAAGAAAGGAAGAAGUAAAACAAUCAAUGUUUGCAGAUGACAUGGUAUUAUACCUAGAAAACCCUAAAGACACUAUUAGUUAACUGUUAGAGCUCACCAAUGAAUUUGGUAAAGUUGCAGGAUAUAAAAUUAAUGCACAAAAAUUGACUGGAUUUUUCUAUA
rnacentral:lncRNA from 1 species